rnacentral:snRNA from 1 species
GUUCUUUUGUUGAUUAAUUCUAA